GUCACUAAUUUUCUAUCUGGGGAGGUAUUUGUUGCAGUUCAGCAGUUACUCUGGUUUUGUUUUGGGUGUGCUAGAAGCAACUUGCAUGGUCAGUUAUUAACUAUGAGGGAAGCACAACUGUAACUUAAGAAACCUGUACGCUCCUGUCUGAAAAACCAGAAAUAAACAUCUUUCUCUGCUUCAGAUUGUCACCUCAGACUUUCACCUUUAGUUAAGUGCUUCAAAAGCAGCUUAGGUUGCUUUUCACUGUAGUUUGAGACAUUCAAAUUUUUCUUUUCCUGUUGCUUAACUUUCUUGCAUUUGUCUUUCCUUUCCUAAAAUUCAACGUUCUUCUGUGAUGAUUCAGUGCUCCCUUCUGUUAACUGUAAACAUGCAGGGAGAAGAUAACCUGUGUUCCCAGAACAGGCCUGAAUGCAGCAUAAACACUCUUCUAAUCAGUUUAAAGAUCCCUCCUGAGGAUAUCCAGGGUUUUUAGCUCAAGUGAGAGAGAUCUAGAAACCUUCCAGCAAGUCCACUCAUUGCUUAAAAUACCAACCAGAGGAAAAUUGGACAAAGAUCCAGUGAAUAUUUGUGACUCAACUUCAUUUUGAUUUUAACCAGCCCUAAACACUGACCUGUAGGCUUCUCAAUCAGCUAAUAUUACAGUGUGGGACAAAGCAAUAUUUAACCUCUGAAAAUUUGGGCUAUAGUAUAAAGCUUUUCAACACUUUGAUUUUUUUUCCCUGUAGGCAUAUACAAAUUUUCAGAGAACCAGAUGUUAGUAAACUGAAGAAAAACUAUUGCCGCAAUCCAGAUGAUGAUUUUCAUGGUCCCUGGUGUUACACAGAUGAUCCUCUCAUUCCCUGGGAUUACUGCCCUAUUUCUCGAUGCGAAGGUGAUACAACUCCUACUACAACCAGUGUGGAUGGUAAGUUUGCAGAUGUCCUGUGCCCUGGCAUGCAUUAUAUCCUACAAGACUAGACAUUUCUUUCUGACUGAGAAGGAAGAAAAAGAUCAAUUAAGGGUACAAAAUAUACAGCUUGGGAAAGAAACAUAAAUAAAUAAAUAAAAGGCAAAUGUAGAAUAGCUUUACUAUACUU
rnacentral:lncRNA from 1 species